GAUGAACGCUGGCGGCGUGCCUAAUACAUGCAAGUCGAGCGAACAGACGAGGAGCUUGCUCCUUUGACGUUAGCGGCGGACGGGUGAGUAACACGUAGAUCACCUCCCUAUAAGACUGGGAUAACUUCGGGACACCGGAUCUAAUACCGGAUAAUAUUUCGAACCGCAUGGUUCGAUAGUGAAAGAUGGCUUUGCUAGCACUUCUAGAUGGACCUGCGCCGUAUUAGCUAGUUGGUAAGGUAACGGCUUACCAAGGCAACGAUACGUAGCCGACCUGAGAGGGUGAUCGGCCACACUGGAACUGAGACACGGUCCAGACUCCUACGGGAGGCAGCAGUAGGGAAUCUUCCGCAAUGGGCGAAAGCCUGACGGAGCAACGCCGCGUGAGUGAUGAAGGUCUUCGGAUCGUAAAACUCUGUUAUUAGGGAAGAACAAACGUGUAAGUAACUGUGCACGUCUUGACGGUAACGAAUCAGAAAGCAACGGCUAACUACGUG
rnacentral:rRNA from 1 species